rnacentral:snRNA from 1 species
CUACUUACUGGGCAGGGGAGACACCGUGAUCAGGACGGGGGUUUUCCCAGGGCAAGGCUUGCCGGUGCACUGCGGUGUGCUGAUCCCUGUGAUUUCCCCAAAUGUGGGAAAGUCGACUGCAUACUUUGUGGUAGUGGGGGACUGCGUUCGCGCUCUCCCCUG